rnacentral:rRNA from 1 species
UGGGGAAUCUUGCCCAAUGGGCGAAAGCCUGAGGCAGCAACGCCGCGUGUGGGAUGAAGGCCCUUGGGUUGUAAACCACUUUCAGCAGGGACGAAAAUGACGGUACCUGCAGAAGAAGCCCCGGCCAACUACGUGCCAGCAGCCGCGGUAAGACGUAGGGGGCGAGCGUUGCCCGGAUUUAUUGGGCGUAAAGAGCUCGUAGGCGGCUCAGAAAGUUGGGUGUGAAACCUCCAGGCUCAACCUGGAGACGCCACCUAAUACUGCUGUGGCUAGAGUCCGGUAGGGGAGCACGGAAUUCCCGGUGUAGCGGUGAAAUGCUUAGAUAUCGGGAGGAACACCAGUGGCGAAGGCGGUGCUCUGGGCCGGAACUGACGCUGAGGAGCGAAAGCGUGGGUAGCAAACAGGAUUAGAUACCCUGGUAGUCCACGCCGUAAACGUUGGGCACUAGGUGUGGGACCCUAUCGACGGGUUCCGUGCCGUAGCUAACGCAUUAAGUGCCCCGCCUGGGGAGUACGGCCGCAAGGCUAAAACUCAAAGGAAUUGACGG